rnacentral:rRNA from 1 species
UACGGAGGGUGCGAGCGUUGUCCGGAAUCACUGGGCGUAAAGGGCGCGUAGGCGGCGACCCAAGUCAACGGUGAAAGCUCGGCGCUCAACGCCGAGUCGGCCGUCGAUACUGGGUUGCUCGAGCACUGUAGAGGCAGAUGGAAUUCCGGGUGUAGCGGUGGAAUGCGUAGAGAUCCGGAAGAACACCGGUGGCGAAGGCGGUCUGCUGGGCAGUAGCUGACACUGAGGCGCGACAGCGUGGGGAGCAAACAGG